rnacentral:lncRNA from 1 species
GUUGAGGGGCAGAAAGCUCCAUCACACCGUCAAAUAAAACGAAUGCUUUCUGAUUCAGAUUUGGCUCCACACUAGUAUAAAGACUGUUCAGACAACUAACUCAGAUGUAGGUUGCCCAACACCUGAGGUCAGAUGAAAUGCACUCCACCUAGGACAUCUGGAAGCAUUGCUAAGACCAGACUGGGGCAAAUCAUGCCAUUGCUGAGGGAACGUGUAGGUCCUGGUCGUUCUCCUCUGCACCUUCUCUGUCCUUCCAAACACUGUGUGAGAGAUGUGUACAGGUUAAAUCCCACCUAAGCCUUGGAGUCUGGAAGAACUGAACCACGUGCCUGAAUUGAGGAAUUCUCAGCAGGAUU